GAUGAACGCUGGCGGCGUGCCUAAUACAUGCAAGUCGAGCGAACAGACGAGGAUCUUGCUCCUCUGACGUUAGCGGCGGACGGGUGAGUAACACGUGGAUAACCUACCUAUAAGACUGGUAUAACUUCGGGAAACCGGAUCUAAUACCGGAGAAUAUAUUGAACCGCAGUGUUCAAUAGUAAAAUACGGUUUUGCUGUCACUUAUAGAUGGAUCCGCGCCGCAUUAGCUAGUUGUUAAGGUAACGGCUUACCAAGGCAACGAUGCGUAGCCGACCGGAGAGGGUGAUAGGCCACACUGGAACUGAGACACGGUCCAGACUACUACGGGAGGCAGCAGUAGGGAAUCUUACGCAAUGGGCGAAAGCCUGACGGAGCAACGCCGAGUGAGUGAUGACGGCCUUCGGAGCGUAAAACUCUGUUAUUAGGGAAGAACAACUGUGUACGUAACUAUGCACGUCUUGACGGUAACUAAUAAGAAAGCAACGGCUAACUACGUG
rnacentral:rRNA from 1 species